UUCCUCUCGGCCGGUGAGAGUGUACACUCUCAUCAACCGAGAGGGAUUCCUCUCGGCCGGUGAGAGUGUACACUCUCAUUGACCGAGAGGGA
rnacentral:miRNA from 1 species